GCAAAACGCGAAGAACCUUACCACCUUUUGACAUGCCUGGACCGCCACAGAGAUGUGGCUUUCCCUUCGGGGACUAGGACACAGGUGCUGCGUGGCUGUCGUCAGCUCGUGUCGUGAGAUGUUGGGUUAAGUCCCGCAACGAGCGCAACCCUCGCCAUUAGUUGCCAUCAUUCAGUUGGGAACUCUAAUGGGACUGCCGGUGCUAAGCCGGAGGAAGGUGGGGAUGACGUCAAGUCCUCAUGGCCCUUACAGGGUGGGCUACACACGUGCUACAAUGGCGACUACAGAGGGUUAAUCCUUAAAAGUCGUCUCAGUUCGGAUUGUCCUCUGCAACUCGAGGGCAUGAAGUUGGAAUCGCUAGUAAUCGCGGAUCAGCAUGCCGCGGUGAAUACGUUCCC
rnacentral:rRNA from 1 species